UGGAGAGAUGGCCGAGUGGUUUAAGGCGCAGACCUGGAAAGUCUGUAAUGCGGAAACGUAUUCUAGGGUUCAAAUCCCUAUCUCUCCGU
rnacentral:tRNA from 2 species